rnacentral:rRNA from 1 species
AGAACGAACGCUGGCGGCAUGCCUAAUACAUGCAAGUCGAACGAACUCUUCGGAGUUAGUGGCGCACGGGUGCGUAACGCGUGGGAAUCUGCCCCUUGGUUCGGAAUAACAGUUGGAAACGACUGCUAAUACCGGAUGAUGACGAAAGUCCAAAGAUUUAUCGCCAAGGGAUGAGCCCGCGUAGGAUUAGCUAGUUGGUGAGGUAAAGGCUCACCAAGGCAACGAUCCUUAGCUGGUCUGAGAGGAUGAUCAGCCACACUGGGACUGAGACACGGCCCAGACUCCUACGGGAGGCAGCAGUAGGGAAUAUUGGACAAUGGGCGAAAGCCUGAUCCAGCAAUGCCGCGUGAGUGAUGAAGGCCUUAGGUUGUAAAGCUCUUUUACCCGAGAUGAUAAUGACAGUAUCGGAGAAUAAGCCCGGCUAACUCCGCGCCAGCAGCCGC